UACAGAGACUGCAAGCGUUAUUCGGAUUCACUGGGCGUAAAGGGUGCGCAGGUGGCCAAGUGUGUUAGGCGUGAAAGCCCGGGGCUUAACCCCGGAAUUGCACCUAAAACUACUCGGCUAGAGCAUUGGAGAGGGGAGCAGAAUUCAUGGUGUAGCAGUGAAAUGCGUAGAGAUUGGAAAGAACACCGAUGGCGAAGGCAGGUCUCUGGGCCGUUACUGACGCUGAGGAGCGAAAGCAUGGGAGCGAACGAGGA
rnacentral:rRNA from 1 species